rnacentral:lncRNA from 1 species
GAAAAGAUUGGGAAUAGAAGUUUGGUGAGCAGCAGGGACUCCAUACUGGGGGCGUUUCUAGGUCUGACAGUUUCGGGGAACAUCACGACCCCACGGGAUAGUGGUGUUCAGAGUGAAGAGACAUUCCUCUCUCUUCUCCUCUUUCUCCAGGCAGGACAUUCUUGGGGAGCCCCAAAAACCCCGACCUGAGAAAGCUCUAGAAGCACAGCAUUAGCUCACCACCCACCCCGUACGUCUUGAGUGCUUUGCGAUACCACAGGGUUGUCUGUGACACAUCCAGCCCAGCACUGCCCUGCUCUGCCUGCCUCUCUUUGGGAGGAUGGAUCUGAGCUUCUGAAGUAAAGAGGAAACAGCUGGCAGGGAUGAUCCCAUCUACGUGCCCAGCCAAUCCAGCAGAGAAAGGUGUCCCUUUCCCCUAAGGAAGCACUGAGCGGGC